GAUGAACGCUGGCGGCGUGCCUAAUACAUGCAAGUCGAGCGAACGGACGAGAAGCUUGCUUCUCUGAUGUUAGCGGCGGACGGGUGAGUAACACGUGGAUAACCUACCUAUAAGACUGGGAUAACUUCGGGAAACCGGAGCUAAUACCGGAUAAUAUUUUGAACCGCAUGGUUCAAAAGUGAAAGACGGUCUUGCUGUCACUUAUAGAUGGAUCCGCGCUGCAUUAGCUAGUUGGUAAGGUAACGGCCUACCAAGGCAACGAUGCAUAGCCGACCUGAGAGGGUGAUCGGCCACACUGGAACUGAGACACGGUCCAGACUCCUACGGGAGGCAGCAGUAAGGAAUCUUCCGCAAUGGGCGAAAGCCUGACGGAGCAACGCCGCGUGAGUGAUGAAGGUCUUCGGAUCGUAAAACUCUGUUAUUAGGGAAGAACAUAUGUGUAAGUAACUGUGCACAUCUUGACGGUACCUAAUCAGAAAGCCACGGCUAACUACGUG
rnacentral:rRNA from 1 species